UGCAAGUCGAACGGUGAACACGGAGCUUGCUCUGUGGGAUCAGUGGCGAACGGGUGAGUAACACUUGAGCAACCUGCCCCUGACUCUGGGAUAAGCGCUGGAAACGGCGUCUAAUACUGGAUAUGUGACGUGAUCGCAUGGUCUGCGUCUGGAAAGAAUUUCGGUUGGGGAUGGGCUCGCGGCCUAUCAGCUUGUUGGUGAGGUAAUGGCUCACCAAGGCGUCUACGGGUAGCCGGCCUGAGAGGGUGACCGGCCACACUGGGACUGAGACACGGCCCAGACUCCUACGGGAGGCAGCAGUGGGGAAUAUUGCACAAUGGGCGCAAGCCUGAUGCAGCAACGCCGCGUGAGGGACGACGGCCUUCGGGUUGUAAACCUCUUUUAUCAGGGAAGAAGCGAAAGUGACGGUUCCUGCAGAAAAAGCGCCGGCUAACUACGUGCCAGCAGCCGCGG
rnacentral:rRNA from 1 species